GCUAAGCCCUGAACAUUGAAAGUUUACCUAUACUUUACUUUCCGCCAGAGAACUACGAGUGAAAAACUUAAAACUCAAAGGACUUGACGGUGUCCCAUAUCGGCCUAGAGGAGCCUGUCCUAUAAUCGAUACCCCCCGUUCCACCCAACCCCAACUAGCAAAACAUCAGCCUAUAUACCGCCGUCGACAGUCUACCCUAUGAAGGUCCAAUAGUAGACACAAUAGCCCUAACGCUAAUACGUCAGGUCAAGGUGUAGCAAAUGCUGGGGAAGAGAUUGGCUACAUUUUUUAUGAUAAAAAACACGAAUUGUACCAUGAAAAAGUACAUGAAGGUGAAUUUAGUAGUAAAACAGACAAGAGUGUCUGUUUUAACAACGCUCUGGGACGCGUACACACCGCCCGUCACCCUCCUCAACAAAACAAAACAACUUCCAUAAACAAAGAUUAAUUUAACUAGAGGAGGC
rnacentral:rRNA from 1 species